GCGCCAUUGGUGUAGCGGUAACACACGUCUGAUUUAUUCGCAACACUGAAAAACUUGAGGACGGAUCCGGGGUUCGACUCCCCGAUGGUGCA